GACGUAGGGCGCGAGCGUUGUCCGGAUUUAUUGGGCGUAAAGAGCUCGUAGGCGGCUUGUCGCGUCUGCUGUGAAAAUCCGAGGCUCAACCUCGGACUUGCAGUGGGUACGGGCAGACUAGAGUGUGGUAGGGGAGACUGGAAUUCCUGGCGUAGCGGUGAAAUGCGCAGAUAUCAGGAGGAACACCAGUGGCGAAGGCGGUUGCCUGGAGCUUUGCUGACGCUGGAGGCGCGAAAAGCGUGGGGAGCGAUCCGG
rnacentral:rRNA from 1 species